UUAUUUAUCUAUUUGCAGAUCUUGUGCUGUGUAAUAAUUCCUGUACACCGAACUGCAACAGCCGCUCAACAAGCGAUCAGAGCUAUGAUACAACAGUCAACAUGCGCUUCCAAUUCAAUUCAGCUUCCAGCAACCUCGGCAGUUUCUCCAUGAAGUGGGCUUUGAGUUCACUUCUUUUGCCCCUAAUACUUAUGACAAUCAUGUAACGUUGUGAAGUGUGGUGUCGGUGAAGAUUAUGGUGAAGAUUCUUUCACUUCAACCCAGUUUAAUUUGUAUGAUAUUUGGAAUGCAUACUGCUGCUGGUUACAUUUUACUAUUAAGUUUACUUAUGUUUAUUAUUAUGGUAACUAUUAGUACAAUAUAUAUUUUUAUCCAGGACUUCUAA